CACUGUACCUAGACAAUUUAGCCUGAGGGAUACACGUGACAGAAUCCUGAACUGUGUUCCUGAGGGAAAAAAUGUGAAGCUGUGUUUGUGUUCCAGUAUUUCAAGUGCUUAAACUUUCUUUGUGUUGCCAUGAGUAAUGCUUUUAAGGUAAUUCAGUCACAGUCACAAUGCAAGGAGGGAGAAAAUGUUGGAAGAAAACUGAUUUCUCCCUUUUUGUGCCUUCCAGAGAUUCUCACAGAUAGUAAGGGAAUAAGGGUUAGAGUUGUGGCACAACUGAAACAAAGGGAUGGCAAGAGUAGCUUUGGUAGCAAAGUCAGUGUCCUGUUACAGUCUGUGUCUGUACCUGUGACAGGGGUUCUUAUUUACCGUAAAUAAUCACGAGAGUCAUAAGAUAUUCAAGAGGACUGAAUACUUACAAGGAAGACUGAAUCAAGAUGACUAUUAUCUGGAUCAAGCUUUCUGUAAAGAACCAUAUGGGCUCUACAACUACUCCUCUUUGCCACAAGAAUACGAAAGUAAACAUAGACAAUAUUUGAAUAAAUGAACGUAGCUGUGUUGUAUAGAA